rnacentral:rRNA from 1 species
UACGUAGGGACCAAGCGUUGUUCGGAUUUACUGGGCGUAAAGGGCGCGUAGGCGGCGUGGUAAGUCAGCUGUGAAAUCUCCGGGCUUAACUCGGAAAGGUCAACUGAUACUGCGGGGCUAGAGUGCGGAAGGGGCAACUGGAAUUCUCGGUGUAGCGGUGAAAUGCGUAGAUAUCGAGAGGAACACCUGCGGCGAAGGCGGGUUGCUGGGCCGACACUGACGCUGAGGCGCGAAAGCCAGGGGAGCGAACGGG